rnacentral:tRNA from 1 species
GGCAUGGCUCAAGUGAUAGAGCACCUGUCUAGCAAGCACGAGGCCCUGAGUUCAAAACUCAGUAAUGCCA